rnacentral:misc_RNA from 1 species
GGUUUCUUCACAUGGCACUCUCUUUGCAAAAGCUCGACAGCAAGAACAUCUGAUGGAGAAGUGGCCAUCGAGAUGAUAUAAGCUCCAAAAUUAUCAGAAGGAAGUUCUGCUAUGACGUGGAAUGUAUCUAAAACAUCAGCAAUUUCCUCAGUUGUCGGCAGGUCAGGACCAAAUAAAGGGCGUUUUCCUCUAAGUUCAGAUAACAGCCAUUCCUGACGCCGUUCCUCAGACCAUUCACGGUAUGAUCCGAUCCCCAGAUGUGUAGUGAUGGCAUCCAUAACAUCGGUAUGUCUAUCAGAUUCUUGUCUAAUAUCCAAUCUCACAAGAGAGAGGCCGAAGGUUGAUACUUGACGCAGAAAGUCAAGAAGGCUUCCAUCAGCAAUAGCUCUAUCGCCACAUGCACAGAGUGAUCUAUAACAAAGCUCCAGCGGCUCCAAGAACUGCUCAAUAUUGGUGAAAGUUGCUUCCUCAGGAAUGUCAGAAUACCCAUUUGACAAUAAAUGACGGGAUCUCUCACGUGUGCUAUACAACUUAUCUCUCAAUUCGCCAAGUAUAACUCGAUAUGGUUCAUUCGAAGG